rnacentral:rRNA from 1 species
UACAGAGGGUGCAAGCGUUAGUCGGAUUUACUGGGCGUAAAGCGCGCGUAGGCGGCUAAUUAAGUCAAAUGUGAAAUCCCCGAGCUUAACUUGGGAAUUGCAUUCGAUACUGGUUAGCUAGAGUGUGGGAGAGGAUGGUAGAAUUCCAGGUGUAGCGGUGAAAUGCGUAGAGAUCUGGAGGAAUACCGAUGGCGAAGGCAGCCAUCUGGCCUAACACUGACGCUGAGGUGCGAAAGCAUGGGGAGCAAACAGG